rnacentral:rRNA from 1 species
AACGUAGGUUCCGAGCGUUAUCCGGAUUUACUGGGCGUAAAGCGUGUUCAGGCGGCUCAGCAAGUCGGGCCUGAAAUCUCUCGGCUCAACCGGGAGAGGCUGUCCGAUACUGCUGGGCUUGAGGGCAGUAGAGGGUGGUGGAAUUCCGGGUGUAGUGGUGAAAUGCGUAGAUAUCCGGAGGAACACCAGUGGCGAAAGCGGCCACCUGGACUGUACCUGACGCUCAAACACGAAAGCUAGGGGAGCGAACGGG